rnacentral:lncRNA from 1 species
AUUGACUUGAAACUUAGUACACAUGUCCUAUGAUAUGAUCUUUCUAAUUUUAAUGCCAAAUUAGAGUUUUUACCCCAAUUUCACGGUCCACUGAACAUAGAAAAUGAUAGUGCGCGUGGGGCAUCCGUGUACUUGGGACACAUUCUUGUUUUGUAUAGAUUAGACCGUGGGAAAAACGAAAAACAGUAAAAAGACAUUCAACAGUUUACAAAACACAACAUACAAAACUUAAGACUGAGCAAGACCUACCCCACCAAACACUGGGAAUGGUCUGCGGUUCUGCUCCAAAUAUGUCACCCGUCAUGUUACUCAUGUAGGCAUUCAUGAUGACAAUCAUAUAUCGUAGUGUUAGGGACAGUAUGCUUCCAUCUUGAUGUCACUAUAUUUUGUUUUUUUUCAAAGCAAGUUUGUAUUUAUAGAUAUUAAUUUCCCUUCCAAACUCAGCUUUAGUAAUACGUUAAAAAAAGUUGUCAUUUAAUAGGACAUUUCAAUAAGAGAUAUGAAGUUAGGGAAUG